GUCGAGCGGAAGGCCCUUCGGGGUACUCGAGCGGCGAACGGGUGAGUAACACGUGAGCAACCUGCCCCAGGCUUUGGGAUAACCCCGGGAAACCGGGGCUAAUACCGAAUAUGACCUCUGACCGCAUGGUUGGUGGUGGAAAGUUUUUCGGCUUGGGAUGGGCUCGCGGCCUAUCAGCUUGUUGGUGGGGUGAUGGCCUACCAAGGCGACGACGGGUAGCCGGCCUGAGAGGGCGACCGGCCACACUGGGACUGAGACACGGCCCAGACUCCUACGGGAGGCAGCAGUGGGGAAUAUUGCACAAUGGGCGGAAGCCUGAUGCAGCGACGCCGCGUGAGGGAUGACGGCCUUCGGGUUGUAAACCUCUUUCAGCAGGGACGAAGCGUAAGUGACGGUACCUGCAGAAGAAGCGCCGGCCAACUACGUGCCAGCAGCCGCGGUAAGACGUAGGGCGCGAGCGUUGUCCGGGAUUUAUUGGGCGUAAAGAGCUCGUAGGCGGCUUGUCGCGUC
rnacentral:rRNA from 1 species